rnacentral:rRNA from 1 species
GUAGGGAAUAUUGGGCAAUGGAGGCAACUCUGACCCAGCCAUGCCGCGUGCAGGAUGACGGCCCUCUGGGUUGUAAACUGCUUUUAUACGGGAAGAAAAAAUACUACGUGUAGUAUACUGACGGUACCGUAAGAAUAAGGAUCGGCUAACUCCGUGCCAGCAGCCGCGGUAAUACGGAGGAUCCAAGCGUUGUCCGGAUUUAUUGGGUUUAAAGGGUGCGUAGGCGUAUCUUUAAGUCAGUGGUGAAAGCCUGCAGCUUAACUGUAGAAUUGCCAUUGAAACGGAAGAUCUUGAAUGUGGUUAAAGUAGGCGGAAUGUAUCAUGUAGCGGUGAAAUGCUUAGAUAUGAUACAGAACACCGAUAGCGAAGGCAGCUUGCUGAACCAUUAUUGACGCUGAGGCACGAAAGCGUGGGGAGCGAACAGGAUUAGAUACCCUUGUAGUCC